CACAUGACUUUGCCUUAAAAACUACAAGUCCCACAAUGCACCACCGGCAGGCCAGUGCAGGCUGCUCAUUACCCUUUUAAGUUGGAACACCUGUGAAUGGAAGGUCUCUCAGCAAACAUAUCAGCAGAGAGAGCAACAAACAAAGGAUUCAACUCGUGGUACAACCAAAGGAGCCACUGGUUUUCAACCUGAUAGACCAACCACUCAUCAAGAAGAAACAAAUAAGGAAAAAAUAAAAUAAAAAUUGAGCUGUGUUGGAAAGAGUUGUCCCGUGCGUCCUUUGGGGUUCAUGUACCAGGCCAUUUCAAGUUGGGCAAGAGUUGAAAAACACCUAGGAACUUGACAAUAGUCAAGUGCCUUAUACAUUUGCAGAUCAAUGGACACCUGUACUCACCUGCUGUGUUUUCCACCUCUCCGGCAAACUUGAAAUAUUCCGUGCCGUGGCGGAAUGGUUCGAGCACUUGCACACGGUGGUUAUCGGUUCGAUUCCUGGAAGGGUCAAUCCGCAGAGGUAACAUCAAGCUCAUGCAGUUGUUCCUCGUUUGUCCUCGUUUGCUGCACAGAAGAUUGAGUAGGGAUGCCGCUUAAGGCUUACCAGGUUCUAAG